UACGGAGGGGGCGAGCGUUGUUCGGAUUUACUGGGCGUAAAGGGCGCGCAGGCGGCGCGAGAAGUCAGGCGUGAAAGCCCCGGGCUCAACCUGGGAAUUGCGCUUGAUACUCUUGUGCUGGAGUUCGGGAGAGGAGAGUGGAAUUCCCAGUGUAGAGGUGAAAUGCGCAGAUAUCGGGAAGAACACCCGUGGCGAAGGCGGCACUCUGGGACGGUACUGACGCUGAGACGCGAAAGCGUGGGGAGCGAACAGG
rnacentral:rRNA from 1 species